rnacentral:rRNA from 1 species
UACGGGGGGGGCAAGCGUUGUUCGGAAUUACUGGGCGUAAAGGGCGCGUAGGCGGUGCUCUAAGUUAGAUGUGAAAACUCUGGGCUCAACCCAGAGCCUGCAUCUAAAACUGGAGUGCUAGAGUUCUGGAGGGGGUAGCGGAAUUCCUGGUGUAGCGGUGAAAUGCGUAGAUAUCAGGAGGAACACCGGUGGCGAAGGCGGGAUCCUGGGCCAGUACUGACGCUGAGGAGCGAAAGCGUGGGGAGCAAACAGG